UCCAGAUCUACACAACAAGUUUCUAAGGGCUAUAGGUUUAUUUGUGUUCCAGGGAUUAGUACCAAUGGACCAAGACCCUGGGCUCUGAGUCCACACCCAGAUCAACACUGCAUUCAUGUGGUCUAAUGGCCAACACCACAAUAACAAGAGACUAUCGGUGCUAUUAGGUAUAGUAGGGCUGCCUAUACAAGGCUUAGUAGGGAUCAGCCUUUCCGGGCAUGUAGGGCAUUGGUCACCAACCCUGUUCCUGGAACUCCACGUGGUGUGAAGGCUUCUGUCCCAGCUAACACUAUGAGGACUAAUACACUGGAGGGUUUGUAAGUGUUGGGCUUGACUCCACUGCUUACCCCACAGCUCCACAUGGUUGAAUAGUGUCUAAUGUCCUGUUGCAGUUCAGGAGCCAAGGAGAGAGGAUGCGCAUGGAGAGGAGGGCUGUGGAGAGGAGGGCCGUGGAGAGAAAGAUGCAUGUUAAGUACAAUUUCACUAAUCUGAAAUGGUGGCAGAAUCUCACACAAUACUAUUAGAUCUCCACUUCAAAUUCAAAGCACAACAUAGCCCUAUAGUAAGUAGCCUUCACACUGGGCAAUUUCACAAGCUGAUUGUAUACUCUGGAGCCUCUUCCAUCUAUCCCUUCCUUCUGCGUGUACGAUAGCUGUAAAUACAUUGGGAGAAGAUAAAGGCCAUUCUACUAAUGUUGUUUACCCUGUCAUAUUGUGAUAGCAAAGGAGCCUUGUCAGCCACAGACGGCAUGCGGAUGACAAGCAAUCUACAAAACUUAUCGGGAUGCUGUGGCUCGUGGCAAAUUCAUGGCUAAAAUUACACAGUGACAUAUCUAUUAGACAUUACAUUUACAUUACAUUACAUUUAAGUCAUUUAGCAGACGCUCUUAUCCAGAGCGACUUACAAAAUGGUGCAUUCACCUUAUGAUAUCCAGUGGAACAACCACUUUACAAUAGUGCAUCUAAAUCUUUUAAGGGGGGGGUUAGAAGGAUUACUUUAUCCUAUCCUAGGUAUUCCUUAAAGAGGUGGGGUUUCAG
rnacentral:lncRNA from 1 species